AUGAGGAACCCAGACGCCGCAGCUAGAGAAAGUCCGUGCACAGCACCAAAGACCCAGCACAGCAAAAGUAAAGUAACAACAAUAAUAAUAAUCAGCAACUAUCAGACUGCAGAAGAAAAUUCACAAGAAAGGGAAGAAUUAAGUCUGCAAACACACAGAGAAGAGUGUUGUGAAUCCUGGAAAACUGCAAAUAUUCAUGAGGUUUAAUCAACUUGAGAUUUGUAAUGAUGCACCAGAAGAGUUCCUGUCACAUGGAGAGACCUAAAUGACCUUGAAGUUCAUCAUUCAGCAAUAGAGAAGGCACACAUUAGUGAUUCCUUUCCACAAAUGUUUAGCUGUAUGUGGAUUCAUUACCCAUACACUUCAAAUGUGAAGUAUUUGAUAAAUAAAUAAUUUCAUUAUACUUACUUCACGUGUAGUAAUGUUAUGUGUGGUAUGUUAAUAGACCAGCUGGCAGCUGACCACUGUAAGUAAACAUCCUCAGCUUUGUUUCUUUGUUUUGUUUUGUUUUUGUUCUUUGUAAUUUUAUUUAUUUGUUUAUUUUUGGUUGUGCGGGAUCGUUGUUGCUGCAUGGGCUUUUCUCUUCAUAUGGCAAGCAGGGGCUACUCUUCAUUUCGGGGUACGGGCUUCUCAUUGCAGUGGCUUCUCUUGCUGCAGAGCAAGACUGCAGGGCAUGUGGGCUUCAGUAGUUGUGGCACGUGAACUCAGCAGCUGGGGCUCCCGGGCUCUGAGCACAGGCUCGAUAGUUGUGGUACAUGGGCUUAGCUACUCUGUGGCAUGUGGGAUCUUCCUGGUCCAGGGACUGAACCCUUGUUUCCUGCAUUUGUGAGCAGAUCUUUACCACUGAGCUACCAGGGAAGCUCUGGAUUCUGGGUUUUAGGAGCUGUUGCACUUUCCUCAUCUUGGAGCUUGUGUCCAUUAAGCCCCUCCAAGGUUCAGGUUAUCUCCUAGAAAUGAAAGGUAUUGAAGGCUCUGUUGCUCCACUAUUUUAACUAUUCUCUUUCCAACCCUUCUAGAGGCAAGAGUAUUUCUGCUCUAUCUGAAGUAGCCAUUCACAACCUU
rnacentral:lncRNA from 1 species